rnacentral:tRNA from 1 species
GUCCCUAUAACUUAACGGAUAAAGUACAGCACUCCUAAGGCUGGAAUCUGGGUUCGAUCCCCAGUAGGGACA